rnacentral:rRNA from 1 species
AUUGAACGCUGGCGGCAGGCCUAACACAUGCAAGUCGAGCGAGCGGCGGACGGGUGAGUAAUGUCUGGGAAACUGCCUGCUGGGGGGGGAUAACUACUGUAAACGGUAGCUAAUACCGCAUACCCUCAGAUGUGCCCAGAUGGGAUGAGCUAGUAGGUGGGGUAACGGCUCACCCAGGCGACGAUCCCUAGCUGGGCUGAGAGGAUGACCAGCCACACUGGAACUGAGACACGGUCCAGACUCCUACGGGAGGCAGCAGUGGGGAAUAUUGCACAAUGGGCGCAAGCCUGAUGCAGCCAUGCCGCGUGUGUGAAGAAGGCCUUCGGGUUGUAAAGCACUUUCAGCGGGGAGGCGUUACCCGCAGAAGAAGCACCGGCUAACUCCGUGCCAGCCGCCGCGGUAAUUC